rnacentral:pre_miRNA from 1 species
UCUUAGAAAAUGAGCAAAGAAAGUGGUUUCUUAAGAUGGAAUCUACUCCUAGUAAAAAUGCUGUGAA